UAAUUCAGUUGGUAGAAUGCUUGCCUAGCAUGCAUGAGGCCCUGAGUUCAAUUCUCAG
rnacentral:tRNA from 1 species